CAAAAGGCUCCAUUUGGGGUGGAGCCACAAAUCAAGAGUUAAAAAUAAAUU
rfam:Felis catus isolate Cinnamon breed Abyssinian chromosome D2, whole genome shotgun sequence.